AAAUUGAAGAGUUUGAUCAUGGCUCAGAUUGAACGCUGGCGGCAGGCCUAACACAUGCAAGUCGAACGGUAACAGGAAGCAGCUUGCUGCUUGGCUGACGAGUGGCGGACGGGUGAGUAAUGUCUGGGAAACUGCCUGAUGGAGGGGGAUAACUACUGGAAACGGUAGCUAAUACCGCAUAACGUCGCAAGACCAAAGAGGGGGACCUUCGGGCCUCUUGCCAUCGGAUGUGCCCAGAUGGGAUUAGCUAGUAGGUGGGGUAA
rnacentral:rRNA from 1 species